AUUGAACGCUGGCGGCAUGCUUUACACAUGCAAGUCGAACGGUAACAGGCCUUCGGGUGCUGACGAGUGGCGAACGGGUGCGUAAUGCAUCGGAACGUACCCAGAGGUGGGGGAUAACGCAGCGAAAGCUGUGCUAAUACCGCAUGUGAUCUGAGGAUGAAAGCGGGGGACCGAGCAGCAAUGUUUGGCCUCGCGCCUUUGGAGCGGCCGAUGUCGGAUUAGCUAGUUGGUGGGGUAAAGGCCUACCAAGGCGACGAUCCGUAGCUGGUCUGAGAGGACGACCAGCCACACUGGGACUGAGACACGGCCCAGACUCCUACGGGAGGCAGCAGUGGGGAAUUUUGGACAAUGGGCGCAAGCCUGAUCCAGCAAUGCCGCGUGCGGGAAGAAGGCCUUCGGGUUGUAAACCGCUUUUGGCAGGAACGAAACGGUGUCCGCUAAUACCGGGCGCUAAUGACGGUACCUGCAGAAUAAGCACCGGCUAACUCCGUG
rnacentral:rRNA from 1 species